ACGCACGCUGGCGGCCGGCCUCACACCUGCAAGUCGCGCGAGGACUUCGGUUCUAGCGGCGGACGGGUGAGUAACGCGUGGGAAUGUGCCCUUCUCUACGGAAUAGCCCUGGGAAACUGGGAGUAAUACCGUAUACGCCCUUUUGGGGAAAGAUUUAUCGGAGAAGGAUCAGCCCGCGUUGGAUUAGGUAGUUGGUGGGGUAAUGGCCUACCAAGCCGACGAUCCAUAGCUGGUUUGAGAGGAUGAUCAGCCACACUGGGACUGAGACACGGCCCAGACUCCUACGGGAGGCAGCAGUGGGGAAUCUUAGACAAUGGGGGCAACCCUGAUCUAGCCAUGCCGCGUGAGUGAUGAAGGCCUUAGGGUUGUAAAGCUCUUUCAGCUGGGAAGAUAAUGACGGUACCAGCAGAAGAAGCCCCGGCUAACUCCGUG
rnacentral:rRNA from 1 species